rnacentral:siRNA from 1 species
UGGUCGCUUUAUUGUCAACUGC